rnacentral:rRNA from 1 species
AGUGAACGCUGGCGGUAGGCCUAACACAUGCAAGUCGAACGGCAGCACAGUAAGAGCUUGCUCUUACGGGUGGCGAGUGGCGGACGGGUGAGGAAUACAUCGGAAUCUACUUUUUCGUGGGGGAUAACGUAGGGAAACUUACGCUAAUACCGCAUACGACCUACGGGUGAAAGCAGGGGAUCUUCGGACCUUGCGCGAUUGAAUGAGCCGAUGUCGGAUUAGCUAGUUGGCUGGGUAAAGGCCCACCAAGGCGACGAUCCGUAGCUGGUCUGAGAGGAUGAUCAGCCACACUGGAACUGAGACACGGUCCAGACUCCUACGGGAGGCAGCAGUGGGGAAUAUUGGACAAUGGGCGAAAGCCUGAUCCAGCCAUACCGCGUGGGUGAAGAAGGCCUUCGGGUUGUAAAGCCCUUUUGUUGGGAAAGAAAAGAAGCAGGUGAAUACCCCGCUGUUCUGACGGUACCCAAAGAAUAAGCACCGGCUAACUUCGUG